CAGCAGCCGCGGUAAUACGUAGGGUGCGAGCGUUAAUCGGAAUUACUGGGCGUAAAGCGUGCGCAGGCGGUUCGUUAAGACAGAUGUGAAAUCCCCGGGCUUAACCUGGGAACUGCAUUUGUGACUGGCGAGCUAGAGUAUGGCAGAGGGGGGUAGAAUUCCACGUGUAGCAGUGAAAUGCGUAGAGAUGUGGAGGAAUACCGAUGGCGAAGGCAGCCCCCUGGGCCAAUACUGACGCUCAUGCACGAAGGCGUGGGGAGCAAACAGGAUUAGAGACCCGUGUAGUCCCUGUCUCUUAUAC
rnacentral:rRNA from 1 species